CAGCAGCCGCGGUAAAACGUAGGGCGCAAGCGUUAUCCGGAAUUAUUGGGCGUAAAGAGCUCGUAGGCGGUUUGUCGCGUCUGCCGUGAAAGUCCGGGGCUCAACCCCGGAUCUGCGGUGGGUACGGGCAGACUAGAGUGAUGUAGGGGAGACUGGAAUUCCUGGUGUAGCCGUGGAAUGCGCAGAUAUCAGGAGGAACACCGAUGGCGAAGGCAGGUCUCUGGGCAUUAACUGACGCUGAGGAGCGAAAGCAUGGGGAGCGAACAGGAUUAGAUACCCGUGUAGUCCCUGUCUCUUAUAC
rnacentral:rRNA from 1 species